AGAUGACAACAUAAAACAUGCCAAAUGCAAGGAUACAUUGCACUCCGUAAGAAUCCAAGGGAUGGCAGCUCUCCUAGCCAGACGGCCGCAGGAAGGCAGUGCCCAUUGGACUAUAUGCAAAAGAGAAAUGAUGAAUGCACCUCAUGAAAAACGGAGAUAGACUGCACCCCAUGAAAAUGCACCCCAUGAAAAAUGGGGAAGGAUCAUAGAGACAAAGAAGUAACUACUGUACCUAUGAUACAAAUCAAAUGCAUAAACCUGACUAAAAGCAUGAGGUGUCAAGAAAUGACACAUGGAGCUGGAGAAUGUGAUGAUGGAUUUUCACUCUGAUGGGCUUUCCCGUGGCUGUGAAGAAAACAUAUCUGAGCAGCAGAGGCUGAAGUCCUCCUGGCCAUUUGGAGGCUUGUUUUAGGAAUCGCCUAAUUGGCAAUAGCUUCAACGGGGAUGGUGUCUUCCAGAGAGAAAAAGAAAGACAGACUGGAUAAAAAUUUCAAGAGGAAAAAUGGAAGGGCAUUGAGUAUAUGCAGCCAAAGGCAAGCUGAGAAGCCAGGGCAGGUGUAAGGGCCAAGGCGGAUGCCCAGAGAGGAAGUACUCAUCAAUGGGAGGAUGCACAUCCAGGUCAGAGGAUGUCAAGAGCUCAUCAAAGGGAGGACAUAGAUACAGGUCUGAAGGUGUCAAGAGCUCAUCAAUGGGAGGACGUACAUCCACGUCUUAAGGUAUCAAGAGCUCAUCAAUGGGAGGACACACAUCCAGGUCUGAAGUUGUCAAGAGCUCAUCAACAAGAGGACGUGUGACCUGGUCUGAAGGUGUCAAGUUUGAAGUUGUGAAGAUGGAGGUGACAGUGACAGACGGUGAAUGGUGGAGGACCCUGAAGCUUGGAGGAGGGGUCUAGGCCCCAUUUGUGAGCAAUCGCCAAAUGGAGGAAGACAGACCCCAGCAAAGUGGGUAAGUGACUAGACCCUCUCAGGAGAUGAUUCCAUAGGAGGAGGUCAAGGGACAAAGAAGAAGAGGGGAGGAAGGCCAGUGGCUCGUUCUUGCCCGAAGUGCAGGCAGUGGAGGUGCCAUGAAAGAUGACCAAUGAAGCUUGAGAAGAAAAUGAGCAGUCCACAAAGUCAGUGGAAGCUCAGCCUUGGAGAAGUUCCACUGGGAAAGGGAGGAGAGACAGAUGGAUAGCUAGGGUGGCAUGUGCAGUUCAGGGGGGGGUUUCUUUGGAGAUAGGUGGGAGAGAACUCAACAAACAGGCUAAAAUCAGAGAGUCAGCAGGGAAUGCAGUGCUGGUAAUCGCUAAGUCACCUUCAGAGCUAAGGGGCUGGACUUAGAAGGGCCCCUGCAAUGUAGGCAGUACACUUCCCAGAUGGAGUUGCAGGAAGGGGUGGGCACCCUGAACACAGGGGCAGCUGUGACUGUGAGGUGGGCAAGAGUGUCAGUGCACAGUUGCCUGCUGGCUUCACUUCCCUCAAUUACAUAAAAGACAGACUGAUUUUAAAAAUGAGUGAUGGGGCCAGGCGCGGUGGCUCACGUCUGUAAUCCCAGCACUUUGGGAGGCUGAGGUGGGCGGAUCACGAGGUCAGGAGUUUGAGACCAGCCUGACCAACAUGGUGAAACAGUGUCUCUACUAAAAAUACAAAAAUUAGCCGGGCAUGGUGGGGCAUGCCUAUAAUCCCAACUACUCAGGAGGCUGAGGCAGGAGAAUUGUGUAAAUCUGGGAGGCAGAGGUUGCAGUGAGCCAAGAUUACGCCACUGCACUCCAGCCUGGGCAACACAGAGCUAGACUCCUUCUCAAGAAAAAAAAAAAAAAAGAGUGAUGGGCUCCUGUGCAGGGCUGAUGGAGGAUCUUGGGACUUUGGGACUUUGGAUUUAGCUUGAGAGUGAUGGGUGAGCUAACCAAGCAAAGACAUGGAAAGAAUUAAGGAUGGAAUGGAGAGCUCACUGGCAUGGGUGAGUUCAUUCACAGUGGACUUUGUCCAGGGCGGAGACUUUACGUGGUUCAGGGCAUUCUCCAGUACCAUUUGUCACCAGAGCAGAUUGCGGUGGUGGGAGGAAACUCAUGCUCCAGGAAGAUGCCCCACCACCUGUGUUGUGCUGCCAUGCUGCACCUUGGAAUAUGUUGCCUUCCAUGGAAAAGGAGACUUUGCAGAUGUAAUUAAGGUUACUUAUCAGUUGACCUUAAAAUAAGGUUUAUCCUUGGUUAUUUGGGUGGGCCCAAUGUAACCACACACACCCUCAAAAAGGUGGACAGAAAACAAAGAGAUGCAGCAGAAGAAGUCAGAUUUGAGGCGUGCAGUGCAUGUGACACUGGCUGAAAGGUGAAAAGCACCUGGCCAUGAGCCAGGGAAUGAAGGUGGGAUCUGGAAGCUCAAGAGGAACCAAGCUGACCACAGUCCCACAACUGCAUGGAAGCAAAUUCCAUGAAUUUGGAAUAAACAAGUCCAAUGAGUUUGGAAUAAACCCAGCAGUGGAUUCUCCACCAAACUCCAGAUUAGAGUUCAGGCCAGCCAACACUUCCACUUUAACUUUGAAACCCUGAGGAAAGAAUCCAGCCACUCCAUGCAGGACCUCUGACCUUCUGAACUCUGACCCACAGCACUGCAAGUUCUAGAAAUUCUGCCUUUGCCAUGAA
rnacentral:tRNA from 10 species